AUGUUCUGCAAGCCACCAGAGACUGGAUUUUAUCCUGUUCCAGCCCCAGCUCGGCCAGGCUGUGGUCAUCCUGGCUGGGGGAGAACUCGAGGCCCUGUGUGCCCUCCAGGGGAGCACUGCCUCAUUCCCUGGAAUCAUAAAGGCUUCGUCCGCCUGGCACUGAGGCACGGGUUCACUCAGGUGCCCAUGUACUCCUUUGGUUACCUAAAUCCAGCUAUAGGGCCUAGGAUUUACGAGAAUGGAGCCUUCACAGUUAAGCCUCCUGCGCCAGACUCCUGGCAGCAUCUGUUUCAGACCACCUUCAAGCAGCUCAUGUACUUUUCUCCUUGCAUCCUCUGGGGCUGCGGUCUCUUCUCAGCCAAGUCCUAGGGCCUGGUGCCCUUGGCCAGACUCAUCGCCUCUGUGGGGUUGAGAUACCGGCGCUAAUUAACGCCUCCGAGUGGCCUGCUGCUGCUGCUACUGCUGCUAAGUCGCUUCAGUCGUGUCCGACUCUGUGUGACCGCACAGACAGU